rnacentral:misc_RNA from 1 species
UACGUAGGGGGCAAGCGUUGUCCGGAAUCAUUGGGCGUAAAGCGCGUGUAGGCGGCUCGAUAAGUCUGCUGUGAAAGUCCAGGGCUCAACCCUGGGAUGCCGGUGGAUACUGUCGAGCUUGAGUCCGGAAGAGGCGAGUGGAAUUCCUGGUGUAGCGGUGAAAUGCGCAGAUAUCAGGAGGAACACCUAUGGCGAAGGCAGCUCGCUGGGGCGUGACUGACGCUGAGACGCGAAAGCGUGGGGAGCAAACAGG